AUGCGCCGGCUGUGUGCCUGAGACGUGAUGGGACCCCGUUUUUGGGGGAUUUGGUGAUCCUAUGCUGCCGAGAAAAGCAUCGGCGUGAGGUUUUAGCCGCCCGUACCCUAAACCGACACAGGUGAUCAGGUAGAGAAUACUAAGGCGAUCGAGAGAAUCAUGGUUAAGGAACUCGGCAAAAUGCCCCCGUAACUUCGGGAGAAGGGGGACCUUGAGCGUGAUGGGCACUUGCUGCCUGGAGCGUGUAUGGGUCGCAGAGACCAGGGGGAAGCGACUGUUUAUCAAAAACACAGGUCCGUGCGAAGUCGUAAGACGAUGUAUACGGACUGACUCCUGCCCGGUGCUGGAAGGUUAAGAGGAUUGGUUAGCCUUUUUUGGGCGAAGCUGAGAAUUUAAGCCCCAGUAAACGGCGGUGGUAACUAUAACCAUCCUAAGGUAGCGAAAUUCCUUGUCGGGUAAGUUCCGACCUGCACGAAUGGCGUAACGACUUCCCCGCUGUCUCAACCAUGAGCUCGGCGAAAUUGCAGUACGAGUAAAGAUGCUCGUUUCGCGCAGAAGGACGGAAAGACCCCGGGACCUUUACUACAGCUUGGUAUUGGCGCCCGCUAUAGCUUGUGCAGGAUAGGUGGGAGACUGUGAAGCCGUUACGCCAGUGGCGGUGGAGUCGUCCUUGAAAUACCACUCUGGUUAUGGCGUGCGCCUGAACCUGGGCCCGUGAUCCGGGUUAGGGACAGUGCCUGGUGGGUAGUUUAACUGGGGCGGUUGCCUCCUAAAGUGUAACGGAGGCGCUCAAAGGUUCCCUCAGCCUGGUCGGCAACCAGGUGUUGAGUGCAAGUGCACAAGGGAGCUUGACUGUGAGACCGACGGGUCGAGCAGGUACGAAAGUAGGAACUAGUGAUCCGGCGAUCCCGUGUGGGUGGGUCGUCGCUCAACGGAUAAAAGGUACCCCGGGGAUAACAGGCUGAUCCUGCCCAAGAGUCCAUAUCGACGGCAUGGUUUGGCACCUCGAUGUCGGCUCGUCGCAUCCUGGGGCUGGAGCAGGUCCCAAGGGUUGGGCUGUUCGCCCAUUAAAGCGGUACGCGAGCUGGGUUUAGAACGUCGUGAGACAGUUCGGUCCCUAUCCUCUGCGCGCGCAGGAGACUUGAGAAGGCCUGUCCCUAGUACGAGAGGACCGGGACGGACGAACCUCUGGUGUGCCAGUUGUCCCGCCCGGGGCACGGCUGGUUGGCUACGUUCGGGAAGGGUAACCGCUGAAAGCAUCUAAGCGGGAAACCAUCUUCAAGAUAAGGUCUCCACAAGAAGGACUCGUCCUUUUUGGUAGGCCCCCAGCAGACUACUGGGUUGAUAGGCCAGAGGUGGAAGCACAGCAAUGUGCUCGUGAGCCGACUGGUACUAAUGGGCCAACACUAAACAAC
rnacentral:rRNA from 1 species